GUAUUUAAGUAAUGGUUCGUGUAAGAACUACGGUACCCUGCGGCAACGCAUGCGCAGAAGUAGCUAUAAAACUUCAGUAAAAUCCUGCCCUCUGAUUGGCUAAAAUACAUCUUCGGGUGUUUUCCGUAUCUUAUCCAUUGAUUGACAAACAUUUAAAUUAAGAAUAAAACAAAGGUUGCAUUGUUACGACUUAUCCCCGAGUUUUGUCCGAAUCGUAUGUUCGGAAGUUACAUUUCCGACCUAGCGCUCACGUCGCCAUUUUGAAUUCUACAUGCUUCCUCCUCGAUAUAUUAAGACAAGUCUCUCGCUAUUCAUUAUCUCUUCGAAAAUAGUUUGAAAAUCUAUUGUAUAUACUUUAAAGAAACGCUUCUGAGUUCUGUUUGCUUGCAAACUUUGUCCGAGAAGUUAGAAAAGCUUUUUAUGGUGUUCAAAAGGCAGGCAUGUUGCUGCCCAAACCACGAGGCUUGGUGUGGCAGUAAGCCUUCAGAUGUGGAACAGAGGUCCCUGAGAAAGGCAAACAGAGUAGAGAAAGUUUUCUUGGAGCUAGAUGACAAAGGCAAAAAGGGCUGGUCUAGAAGCAUUUGUACAUACUGUCGACAGCGAGUCGAUUUGGAGCUUGGAAACAAACGCAUGAAAACUUCACAAGAGAGCUGUAGAGAUGAAACUGCCUGAAGUUCCAGCGUGUUUUUCCAACCGGAAACCUCUGAGACCAGCGCCGCUGCUGAAGCCGCGUUAGAACCAUUCCAGGUAAAAAAUUCAUAGGUCAAUAAGUACUUGAGAGACAAAUAAUUGGUUCAGAAGGGAACGAAAUAUUUUACUCGUUCUAUUUUACUAAAAGAGUUUUAUUACGGGAAGUUGUCAUUUGAGUUUACGAUGUGAAUAUGUAAAUAUAAGUUAUGUGAGCCUGAUUUAUAAGCUGGGUGAAAUGUAAAUACCAACAAGCCCGAAUGUAUUCCUUGAAUGUAGCGAAACAUCCUGGGGUUUGACACCCUGAAAUUGAGGUACAGCAAACUCCCGUCUAAGUGAAAAAAUUGUAAGCGGAUAACUUAACAAAAUGCAGGGUUUUGUCUUCCUUUCCAUUCAAACAAUGUCUUUCUUCAUUUUCAUUAGCUGACAGCCCUUGUAACACUGUUUUUAGUUCCUGACGUGUCUGCUUCUGAGGGAGUUGACUGUAGUUGCCUUGUAUUUUUUAUAAGUUCUGAUAUUCAAGAAAUGAAGUUGAGAAGGAAUCUUAAGUUUGUGUGUACUUUUUUUACAGGACAUUGAGGAAACCUCUGCACUAGGGCAAAUUUUGCCGUCAUCAGUUGAUGCUGUACGACUCAUGAAAGCAUCAACUAAACUAAGGGACAUAGAACGAUGCAUUGAAGUAGAAGAUACGGCGUUUGGUGAAGCGAAGAUAUUCUUUUAGAAAAUUGUAAAAUAUAAAUAUCAGCAAUAACCCGCAAUUGUCAGUAAGAGCAGUGGAAUGCUUAUGCGGAUGCAAAAAGCUGAAAGAAAUAGUGAAUAUAAAUGCAGCCCGUCUUGAGCCAGAAGAAUUACAAUUUCUUCGCAGAAAUUUUCCGUGAGUUUCAUGGCCUACUAUAUAUCGAAGAUGGAGACCCUGAUUAUAAGCUGGACACUCUCGACUUCAUCAAUGAGCUUAUGGAACAAACCUUGCUUGCGGCUUGUUUUAAGAAAAUAUUGUGCGUUCUGUCUGUGUCGAUGAAAUAAUAAUUAGAGGACUGCUACUACUAUGAAUUCCAGUAAACUUUGUUGCUGUGGCUUGUAUGCGAUUAUAGUUGUAUUGAGGAUCGAAUAAAGCAAAAUUGGUAACUUUAUUUAAAGGCGUGAAUCGUUUUAGUUGUCAAUCUUAACAUGAAAAUCGUUGUCAAAAAUCUUUGAAAGAAAAAGUGACUUUCUUUGGAAAGCUAAAUUCUACCGCACUAACAGGCUUUUGGAAAUGUGAGACCGUAUUUUCACACGUUUAGCCAGCGGAAUGUUUGCUUUGGCAAGAGACAAAGCGCAAAAUUGUAAUAAGUGAAGUAUAAAAAAUUAUUAGCAGAUAUCCGAAAGGGAUUUCUCCAUGCUCCGAACAUACGAUUUUAACAAAAAUGCAAAGGUUGAAAGCUUUCUUACUUCGAACCUAAGCCCCCUAAUAAAUAUGAGUGCAAGAGCACUUAUUUCAGAGAAAUGUGACUCCAAAGUUCAAAUUUGGCGGGCAGAGCGUCUUGAACCAAUAAGCAUAGCAAUAUUAAUUAGAUUAGUUAAAAA